rnacentral:rRNA from 1 species
UACGUAGGGGCCAAGCGUUGUUCGGAUUUACUGGGCGUAAAGGGCGCGUAGGCGGUAGUUCAAGUCAGUUGUGAAAUCUCCGAGCUUAACUGGGAACGGUCAUCUGAAACUGCUCUGCUAGAGUACAGAAGAGGCAAGCGGAAUUCUUGGUGUAGCGGUGAAAUGCGUAGAUAUCUGGAGGAACACCUGAGGUGAAGACGGGUUGCUGGGCUGUUACUGACGCUGAGGCGCGAAAGCUAGGGUAGCAAACGGG